rnacentral:rRNA from 1 species
AUGGGCUUGCUUGGAGAUGCAUGGUGUUGUGAUCCGAGGAGUUUGCCGUAUGUGAAGACUGAUGUGACAAAUGCAAGAGCAAAGCUGCGAAGGGGCCUGUCAGAACGUGACUUGGAGCUGACAAUCGAGUACUUUGAGAGAAGACAAGUGGAGAAUCCCAACUUCUUUUUCUCGAAGCUACAAGAAGAUGGAGCUGUUAGGGCGCUUUUCUGGGUUGAUGGGAGAACAAGGGCCCUGUAUCCAAAGUACAAAGAUUGUGUGUUUUUCGACACCACAUUCUGCACAAAUCGCUACAACUUGCCCUUUGCUCCGAUUGUUGGCAUUAACAACCACACACACACUCUUUGCUUGGGGUGUGCUUUGUUGCCUGAUGAGACCAUUGAAACUUUCAAGUGGGUCUUCCAGCAAUGGAUGUUGGCAAUGAAUAAUGAGCAUCCGUUGAACAUUAUGACUGAUCAAGACCAGGCAAUGGCUACAACCAUCGCAAUGGUAUUUCCAAAUUCAACACACAAAUGUUGCAAGUGGCACGUCUUCCGGGUUGCAAGGACAAAACUAGGGAAGAUGCUGGGCAAGGAUGAUCCUUUCGCAGAAGCAUUCUAUGGUUGCAUUAAUGGUUCAGAUACCGUUGAGGAGUUUGAAGAACGGUGGAAGAAGAUGGUCGAGGUGUUUGGUGUGGUUGAUAAGAAACACCUCAAAAACAUGUGGAACAGCAGGGAGACGUGA